rfam:Triticum aestivum genome assembly, contig: Triticum_aestivum_CS42_TGACv1_scaffold_249039_3DL
UAAGUACUCCCUCCAUCUGAAAAUACAUGUUGGAGCAUGGAUGUAUCUAGUCAUAUUUUAGUUCUAGAUACAUCCAUUUUAUCCAUUUCUCGGACAAGUAUUUUCGGACAGAGGGGGUAUAAC